UUUCCAUUAAUUGACCCCAGGCUGGGACAACCGGGAGACUUGAAGCGCAGGAAGUGAAACUCUGGUGUGCACAACGAGAUUGCCGUUUCACUGGACGGCUACAAGCAGGUGCCAUCAGGAAUAAAAGUGAAAAUUAAGAUUCUUGCACAGCAAUACAGGUAUGACUGCCCUUGGCGCUGGUCCACACCAACCCGGCACAUUAUGUGGGAGUGCCCACUACUCAACCUCGAACAGCACCACAUGAACACUGCGAACGAGCAAUGGAAGCCACUGCUGUACAGCUUGGCCCUCGACGACUAGAUCAGGCUCGUCCAGAGAGCGGAGCGGAUGGCAACAGAUACUGGAGCCCUGGACUAAAGGCCCAUUAGUAAAGCCCCUUUAGAUAAACCCACAGGAACUUUCUUUGCAUGUACAUAAAUAAAUAAAUAAAGCUUGUUAUACUGUA